rnacentral:tRNA from 1 species
GACCUCAUAGCUCAGCUGGUUAGAGCUUUUGCUGACUAAGGCCUUCAUCUUGUUGGUGUGGGUUAAAAUCCCACCGAGGCCG